GUUUCGAAACUGGGACCUUUUGCGUGUGAGGCAAACGUGAUGACCACUACACUACAGAAACCCCCCUUUUCUAUUCUACAAUGGAUGGAAAGACAAGUAUGGGUUUCGAAACUGGGACCUUUUGCGUGUGAGGCAAACGUGAUGACCACUACACUACAGAAACCCCCCUUUUCUAUUCUACAAUGGAUGGAAAGACAAGUAUGGGUUUCGAAACUGGGACCUUUUGCGUGUGAGGCAAACGUGAUGACCACUACACUACAGAAACCCCCCUUUUCUAUUCUACAAUGGAUGGAAAGACAAGUAUGGGUAAGGAUUAAUGAAAAAUUCAGACAAGGAAUACCAAUGUGGAGUUUCUGCACAUUGCACUGGACCUGACUAAGCCCAUUUGAAUGUGUAGAGGAUUGACUGGUACUGUUGUAAGCUAGCCAGUUAUCUGUUGGUGAAAAUAAAACACAUAUCCCACAAUUGGGAGAAUACAUAUUUUCUCUAUUGUA